rnacentral:piRNA from 1 species
UGCUGCCGUGCCUUACAUUAAAAAGGU